AUGUAAAAAUGCACGCUUGCAAAAAUAAAACUAGUUGUCACACGUGGUUUUACCCGCGUCCCGAUGGAUUUAAUUCCCGUACCAGGACAAAAUAUAGCCUAUGUUCAACGCAUUUAGUGUAGCUACCUAAUAGUGAAAGAAUUCGGUUUGAUCGUUUCGGAGCCUAUUCGCGGCAAACAAAAAAAUAAACAAACAAACAAUCAAAUCUUGCCUCUUUAUAAUAUUAGUAGAGAAAUGCUGAGACUGCAGAUGCUGCCAUAUAAAGAUUAUUUGCGAUGGUGCAUACGAGCGUUUAAAUUGUAGCGUUUUCGGUAGCUCAGUCAGGCAGACAAUCGUUUGUAAAUCGCAUAUUAUGUAGAUGUUCUACCAAUUGUAGAAACGAUGUAUAGCAACUUCUACCCACGAUCGACGCAAAACAAGCAGUUUAUAAACUUUUUCCAUGUAUAGGUAGGAAAUAUGUUUAUCAGCAGAAACGCUGCGGUUUGCACGCUCGCGUACAUUAUUUCAACUUCUUACACGUGGAGUACCCAAAUAAGAACUUGAAUCUCACGUUUCUAUAGUAUAUUUAAAAACAAUGUAUAAUUAUGUAUUUAAUUUUAUAAUUUUGAACCUUAAUGACAAGAAAAAACAAAAUGCGAGUAAGUAUAAAACCAGAAUAAAAUCCUGGAGAAAUCACAUUCCCGUUGAAUAUCUCGUUCUACAAUGUCGAACUCCAGUGAUAUUUUCAUCAAUGAUUCAUCAUGCUCCCAAAUACCGGCAGCGCAACAACUACGUCAAAAUGUUUUGAACUACCUAGAGAGGGAAAGACCGUUCCGGUAUGAUGAAAUAAGAUCGAGUCCAUCGUACUCUCCGAUUCCAGCAGCAUCAAGAGAAAGACCCUUUCAAUUCGAAGAAAGACCGAGCAGCAGCGGCCCUGAAAGAGUUCCUAAUAGUAAAAAACGAGGGACCAAAACUUUGUAUUCGUACAUUAAAAAGCCUGCAAAGGGUUUACAAUCGAAAGUAAUACGGAUCCAAAUCUAUGAUGCAGAAGAUUUAAAAAGUUCUAAAUUAUGUGAGUGUAGGGCUAAUGUAUGCGCUCAGCAUAUUGUUGAAAAUGUGUUUAACGAUGAUAUAUACAAGUGCGCAAAAGAUAUGAUAAGUAAAAUUCAAAAGAAACUGUAAAUAAUUCAUAAAUAAACAAUAUUACUGA